UAGCAGAGUCCAAGGUUGAAGGCAAAAUCAAAACCACAGAAUUCAAGGUACAGUUCACUCAACAAGGGUAAUAAUACCAUAGUUUCACCAUAAAGCAAGGUAUUGCUUCCUAUAAGACUGAACAGUUGAAAACCCUUUACUCUAAGUUUUCAGGUGUUGCUUAUGAAGAGCCUGAUUCUCUUCUAAUUGGGCAGACCUGUAGGUUGCAGCACGCUCAUGUCUGAAUUGUAAAAGGGAUGGUGCACUUAGCCCUUCAUUAGCCUGCCCUGGUGUACUGGCAUCUGCUGGGAGGUGAUCGCUACUGCUGAAGACUUUUUCCUACAAUAGCUAAGGUAGGCUGGGAGGGCUGCUGGGAACUGCUUGCCUCCAACACUGGCCCUUCAAACAACCUCACAUCCUCACUAACAGAGCUUUCCAGGACAUGAUUAAGGAGACAUAAAAAUUGAGUUAGAAAUAUCAACAGUUUAAGAUAUGCAGAUGAAACCAUAUUACUGCCAAUAAAAUACUUCUAAAAAGUCAAGGAAGAAAGUGCAAACAUUUCUUUAACUGAAUGUGAAGAAAACAAAUAUACUGACUACAGAUGAUUUACAUGACUGUGAAGAAAAUGUUGAAGAUCCUGAAAUAGUUCAAGAUAACUUGGCUUGAUCAAGAAUGUGGAUUGUAAUUAAGAAAUCAGAAACAAAACAAGAACUUGGAAUGGUCGUUAUAAAAGAAUGAGUAACCAAAGGUCUCCUGAGCAAAGCUGGGAUAGAAGUUUUCACACCUGCUUGUUUCUCUUCACUGAAAGAAGCAAGCAAUUGCACAGACAACAGCUAAUUAUACCUCUGUGGGAGCUUGUAGCUACUGACAGAACCAUUGUGACCAAUAUAAAUGAAAUGAAACAUCAAUAAAACUAUUUCUAAUUUUAAAAAAAACCCCUUAAUGUAUAAAAGAUGUAUCUUUUUGAAAGCUUUUGUUUGUUUACAAAGUUAGAUGUGUUAUAAGUAAUCUAUAAAUUGAUAAUUGCCAUUUUUGAGCCAGACUAAGAUUUUUUAAAAAAUCAAAAAUAUGUCAGGUUAAAUUGCAGUGCACAGAUAAUAUAGAGAAAGAACAAGACAAAUCAUAACUAUGUUAAGGGAACUAUGUUAAGGGAUUUUAAUAAAAAAGUAUAAAUUAUGCAUAUGAUGAUUUUUCAAAUUCCAAACACUUUGUCUGAUAUUGAAAUGGCAUCAGGGAAGUUCCAACUGAAUCUUUUAAGAAUCUAAGUGUUACCACUGAGUACACUUUUUUUUCCCCCACUAGCCCUUGUUGUAAGUUGUGUAAAGGGGACCAUCAAAAAGUGAUUUCAAAAGAAGCAUGUGCACGUGAAGAAGGAAGCAAAAGGUAGAGUAACAAACUAACAGCAAUUGUGCUGUGCUGAUAAAAUUCUUCACUGAAAAGUCUGUCCAUAAAGAACCAUUCUGAUCUAAUAAAAAUCAGCCAAGCACAACUUCAGCUAAAAUUGUAUAUUGGCUUGAUUUAUUUAAAAAUUAUGGUAGUACAAAAUGCAUGCAUAUUGCAUUUUGAGAAUGAAUAUUAUAUUAUAUUAUUUAUUUAGUUAUCUUAUUUAUAUCCCGCCUUUCUCUACCCCAUGGGGUCGCAAGGUAGCUUACAAACGGCACUUAUACAGUGCCUUGAGCAUAAAAACAAAAACUUGAGAUAAAAUUAGAUUAAAAUUGAUACAUACAUAAAAUCAUGGUUAAAUAUAUAGAGAGUGAAUAUAUUCUAGGGAGUCCAAUUGUUAUAUUGAGCAUUUAUCACUUUUCCCAUUGAAUUUAUUGAUACUGAAUCUUUAUGGGACAUAUUGUUUAAUCUCCUUCUCUCUUAAUCUUUUUUUUCCUUUUCCUUUUCCAUUUCCUUUGAAUGCAGGGGAAACUUAUGUACAUAGGGAAUUCUUCCUGUACACAUUGUGUUAUAAUGUUUAAAAAGUCAAUGUUAGUACUGUCCAGGACAUUUGAUGCAAUGAAAAUGUCUCCCAAAGGUUAAAUUAAUACAUUGGAGUGGGUGGUGGGGGGAGUACUGCUGGCUUAGUUUUUCUGUAGCAAACAUUUUGUACCAAUAAGCAUCUAAUUAAGUUAAAAUGUUAUGUUUCUGUUCUUUACUAGUGAGCAGAACAUUGUUCAUUAAUUAAAUCUUAAGGUGCAGCUUGAAGCAGUUCCAGUUAUUUGUAGGCCAAAAAUCUGUAGUACUGAGAAAAUGACUCAUUUCUACAACAUGACAUCUUUUACAAUACUUUGGAAGAAAUGAACAUGUGCUUGAUAUGAAAAGAUGCUUUGACUUUUAGCUAUUACAGAGAGAGAAUGUUUUUGCUUUGAUUUAAUCUCCAGCUGCUCAAAAAUACAUUAUAUUAAUUAAAUCCCUAUUUUUGAAUUUUGUCCUUAGUCUUUGCUGUUUCUAAAAAAAUU
rnacentral:lncRNA from 11 species